GUUGAUGACGUUCAGCUGUUUGGAUGUUUAGAGUCUGUGUUUCAGUGACUGUGUGUGUGUGUGAGCGUACAGAUGUACAAACAUGUUGCUUCGCCUCGUUCCUCUGAAGCUCAUAAUCCUUUCAAAUGUAAACCCCCCCCCACUCUCUCUCUCUCUGUUUAUCGUGUCUCUCUCUCUCUCCUCUCUCCCUCCCUCUGCUCCCACAGUUGUUUCCUCUCUGAGCUCUCGGCCUUAUUUUACCUUUUUUAUCUUAAAGUUGGUGUUUCCUCCCUGACAUCUCUCUCUCUCUCUCUCUCUCUCUCUCUCUCUCUUUACUUCAUACUUCACCCCCCCCCCCCCCCCCCCCCUCUCUCUCUCUUGCGUUGCUCUGCUGCACAAUGCCCGGGUGAGUCACAUCAUUAAAAAUACUGCAGCCUAAAGACGACCUUGCCCACAGCUCGCCCUCGCCAGCCGUGCAGCCUGCAGAAUGAAUCCAAACUCCAUGUCAGAGUCAUGUGGGUGUGGCUCUAACCCUCUCUCCCCCCUCUCUCUCUCUCCCUCUCUCUCUCUCUCCCCCUGCUGAUCCAGCUCCUCCAGAGCUCAUCUCUGAUGUCUUUGUCGCUCCUCCGCUGAGUGAUGGGCACUGUCAAGCGAGCGAGCCCUGGAUCUCACACUGCAGUCGCUCUGACGUCAGACAGAGGCAGAGGGAGGCGGAGGGAGGAGAAGCCAGGGGAGGAACGAGGAGACAGACAGAGAUGGGAGAGAGGGAGGGAGGGGGCGGGAGGAUACGUGGGAGAGGAAGGAGAGAGAAAAGAAGCUUUGUUAAGGAAGUGUGAGUGAAAAGAAGAAAGAAGAAAGAACCUCAGAGGCUGAAGCACAUGAAGGUGAUGAUUACCGGCGAGGUAAAGGUGAGCGGUAGACGGGUUGGAAGGCGUGGGCUGAGUUCAAACCCAGAGCUCACAGCCUGAACGUGGGAGGAGUCCGCUGAGUUACUGCAAACAUGACAGAAGAAGAGUUAUUGACGAGUUCAUCCGAUCAGAUGAAAGAAGUUAUUGAUCGUGAUGAAUCAGCAGGUUAACUUCAGGUAAAUCAGAGACGAACCACUUGUUCACAAAGAGUCAGUUUGCUGCAGUGCUGCAGUUCCCCCACUGUGCAGAAGAUGGCGCUGUUGCAUCAGAUCACUCAGUGAGAUGAACAGUGAGGACCAUCCCUGGGAGGUUUCACUGUAAAUGUAAAUGUGUGUGUGUGUGUUUGAGUGUGCGCAUGCGUGCACGGCUGCACUGAUGCGUGUUAAACAGGCCCUCAUGUACGAGUCCAUUCAUGCGUGUGGAUGUGCACACAUGCGUACACGUGUGUCCUGACUCCCUCACAUGUGUGUAGAGUGAAUAAUCAAACUGUACGGAUCGUGAAUCCGCCUGAUGUCCGUGUUUUAUGAUCAUCAUGUGACCCGCCCAGCUGGAUCAGGAUCAGGGGGGCUUCCCUCAGGCCCCUGAGAGUCCAGGUUUAUGUAACUUGGCCUCUGGGAAAACUCACUUAUGCAGAUGAAGUGGAGGUGGGCCGGGCCUCACCGGGGUCUCUGGUGCCGGUUCAUGCAGCUGUUCCUGCCGCCUCAGAGGAUGAGGAGGAGUGAAGGUGACGGGCUGCAGCUCUGAGGUUCACCGUGGUUCCUCAGAGUCCUACACUCUAAAAAAGGUCGUUUCCUGACCCAGCGCUGGUUAAACAUUGGACAGAACAUUUAAUUUUACUCAACAAUCGUGUUUUUCAUAUAACCCAACGAAAGGUCCUUAAACCCCAGGGCCGACACGGAUAUAGAACGUGAAAUUACGAAAUAUUCGGAGGCGAAUUUUGACGUGUGAUUUUGCGACUUUUCCAGGGGAAAGUCCCGCCUCCUUCGCUUCUGAUUGGCUAGAAAAGCUGGAAAUAUUAUCACGCACAAGCCAAACGGUCAGCACUUAUAGCCAAUCAGAGGCGAAGGAGGGCGGGACCUUGCCUUACCAUCCUACAGCGUCCCGGGUGGAAGCGACAAGACAAAAAUGGAGUCCACUUCAACUUCAAGUGAUGGCGAAUUGGUAGCCAUGUUGGAUAUACCGGUGAAUCUGACGUCGCAACAACACGCAAUCUGAUUGGUCAGAAGUGGACACACAGUAUGAGAAACUUUAGAAAAAUCGACCGUGAUCCAAAAAAAUAAAUGCCGGAAUAUUGCAGAACGGGAAAACGUCGCUGAUGUGAACGUUUAUUGACAGGAUACAGGUUUGAAAAAAAAUAUUGACGUCCGAAAUAAUCGCACGAUAAAAACGGUCCCGGUGUGAAAGGACAGUAGCGGUGGUGUAAAUCUGGUGAGUGGGUGGUGCUUGGGUUAAAAUGCCCGAACGUCUACCCAAUGUGUUGGGGAGUCCACAAUAAACCAACAAAACUGUAAUUAUGAAAUGAAAUUAUGAAAUUAUGAAAACUGUAAUUAAGAAAUUACACCCCAACAGCUUAUAACAAAAAUAACCUUGAGUAUUGUGUACUCAGAUUACCAAACUCCAUGACAAUAACCCAAAUAAACUGACCAGUGAGGGGAGGAGCUGUUUGUAGUUUUCAUGAGUCUGUUUCUUCAUAUCCAUAACUGAGCUGAGGUCGACCAUGAAGAGAAAACACGCCGCAGUCCGAGCGAAGAAAGACUUAAAAUCAUGUUCCCGUUUUUUUUAUUUAUGGGUCAUGGGAAGGACGAGACGAGUGAGGGGCUGAGGGUCUCCUGAGUAUCAUGACAUCCUUAAUGGGUUUCUACAAAUCACACACACUUCCUCCUCCUCUCUCCAGCUUGUUCGUCUUGUAUGGAGGUCAAGUCAACGGGGACGUGAAGCACUGAGCUGCUGCCACAAGUAAACAUGUCCAAAAACAUCAUCCCAGCGCUCAGUGAGGUGAUGGAGAGAAGAUGAGAGUGAUGAUGGAUGUAGAGGUCAGCAGGGAAACAUCAUGGAGAGAGAGAGAGAGGGAGAGAGAGAGGGAGAGAGAGAGAGAGAGGAGCAAACAGGGAGAUUUACUACAAAUGAGGCAAACUCCAGUCAUCAUAAAAGCCCUGCAGGAGCCUGGAUGUGGUUUUCUCUGCAGCAUAGAGAAGAAGAUCUGCAUUAAUGCAGCACUGCAACAAAACCCGCCUGUUUUCUACCUCCAGAGUUUCUCCUGCUCUUCCAGGAACGAAGCUGCAGUCCUGAAUCUGCAGUCCUGAACCUGCAGCUGUAAUCUCCUGAUGGAGUUGUAUAAUCUGAGCAGACAUCUUAUCUCAGAAUAGACGUGAUGAUCCUCGGCUCUCCUGACUCUUUUACUCAAAUCACUCCACCUCCCUCUGUCCGUCUGCUGCUGUCAUCAUGGCUGAAGAUGGACGCUGCUGUUCUUUGUGUCGGUAAACACAGAUGAGUCGAUAUCAUAGCUGCAUAAAUCCCCCCCUGACUCAGAUUCACCCUCGAACCCUCUGUCCGUGUCCUCAUGGAUGAAUCUGUGUGCUCAGAUGAACGAGGAUCUAUAUUUGACUGGGACAUCUACUAUCACUCAUCAUGAAGUGACACACUGAUGGGUGAACCUCAGGGCCCCCCCUGGUGGCCCCGCACACACAGGUGGUUCAUUACGGACCUGGAGAUCCAGACUGUGACUGUUUCAGAUGUAGAUCUGUAUUUAAGAAGACUAGAUCUAGACACAUAGAAAAUCUAUCUAUCUAUCUAUCUAUCUAUCUAUCUAUCUAUCUAUCUAUCUAUCUAUCUCGAUAUAUGCAGUGGAGGACUGUGAUUGGAUAAUCAGAGUCAGCUGAUUCCACCAAUAAGAAAGUUAAAGUGAUAAAGCUAAGACAUAAUAUCGUGAUAUUUAUCUCGGCAGUUUUACACCGAUCCAAAUAUCGAUAUUUUAUUACCUUAGUUUCGAAAAGAAACAGUUUUUGGUUCUAAAUAAAUCAAAAUUAGAUGAUUUUUUUUUGGUCCACUUGGCGGCGCUGAUGAGUCACUUCCUGUUGAGGUUGGCAGGAAAGUUUGGGAACCAAUCAUGGCGGAUUCACGCGGGAAAAACGGGGAAAGCGUCGCGAUUCACGAGUGGAUUAUUCGGAUGUAUUUACCGUGACAGUUUAAAGAGCGAGGAUGAGACAGGUGGAGUUUAUUAAAGUUUAGAAAAACCCGGAAAUCUGACGAACCGGACCGACGCUCACCUGUCCUGCAGAAUCCUCAGGUAACAUGAACACGUGAGCGGAAAGACAGAACCAGGAAACCAGCCAACACCGGAACCACUGAGGAGAUACGAUGGAGGUCCACCUUCUUCAUGUCCAAAGACCUGCUGACCUCCAUCCUGAGGACUUCAGACACCAGGUGAGUGACUCCAACACCUCCUCUGAGCU